UGGUAGAGAUGGAGUCCUGCUAUGUUACCCAGGCUAGUCUUGAACUCCUGGGAUCAAGUGAUCCUCUUGCCUUGGCUUCCCAAAGUGCUGGGAUGACAGGCGUGAGCCAUGCAUCCAGCGCCGAUUCUUUUUUGUAGCAUCAUUGCAUGCGUCCCUCCUGCCCAUUCCCUCUCUGACAGCACUUUAGUUCAUGAGCUUAUUCACUGCAUUAGCAUGUCCUGAGGCCACCGUGUGCUGCUGUGCAGAGGAUUUGGCAAAAGGAUUGUGGGGAGGGGGUGAUUCUAGCUGGCAGGAUGAUUCUGCAGAAAAUACAGGCCUUACUUUCAAAGAAUUUAUAAUCAACAAAGCAUGUGGCCCAAUGAGCUAUACUACAAUGAGGUAAGUAUUAGAAAUAUGAACAAAGUGUCAAAUAGGAGAGAAGCAUGAAUUUUGCCCUGAGGAGAUGGAGAACAUCUCACCUUAUAAUGUCUGAGCUGGGCCCUGCAGAACAAGUAGGGUAGAGAGUGCCAGGCCACAUGCCCCUUCUAUGAGUCCAAGAAAUGACAGCAACUUCUGGCUUGGGGGCAUAGGUACAUAGGGUGCC
rnacentral:lncRNA from 10 species